rnacentral:rRNA from 1 species
UACUCCAUGUGGUCGAAGUUGACCUGGAAGGGCACGUCGGAGAGGGUGAUAGCCCCGUGCGAGACUGCGGUGGAGUAAGGGUGUUGCUGCCUUUGGCGAGUCGGGUUGUUUGGGAAUGCAGCCCCAAGUGGGUGGUAAACUCCAUCUAAAGCUAAACAUUGGCACGAGACCGAUAGCGAACAAGUACCGCGAGGGAAAGGUGAAAAGCACUUUGGAAAGAAGAGUCAAAGAGACCGCGAAACCGUUAGGAGGGAAGCGAAUGCAGCCAGAGCGGCUUCGUUCAGGUUCAGGAGGCGUUGCGUCUGUCCGUUGUGCGUCGUUUAACCCGGUGGGUAGGCGCUCGGUGGUCGGGUGCAUCUCUUCUGCAAUCCAGUUUCGUAGCCGGCCAACGGCGGUCGCCAGUCGCCCAGCAGGGCGGCGGGGAAGGUUUCUUUCCGUGCCUCAGGGCUUUGGGAAGGGCUUAUAGCCACGCCGUUCGGAAGUCGAACGGCGACCGAGGACUGUCGCAACCCCUUUGCGCAGGCACUGCGGGCCCCUCGUGGGCCGGAUCGCCCCUGCCCGUCCGGGAAGCGCGGAGGCUGACUGCUUGCAGUGUUCUCCGACGCUUGUCAGUUCGGGUGGGGGGUCGAUCGCGACUGCAGUGAUGUCGUUGGCAUGGAGGAUGGCUUCACCCGA